UCGAACGGUGAACCGGGCUUCGGCCCGGGGAUCAGUGGCGAACGGGUGCGUAACACGUGGGCAACCUGCCCCCGACCCUGGGAUAACCCCGGGAAACCGGAGCUAAUACCGGAUACUCUCCUCCGAUCUCCUGAUCGGAAGAGGAAAGGUCCGCCGGUCGGGGAUGGGCCCGCGGCCUAUCAGCUUGUUGGUGGGGUAACGGCCUACCAAGGCGACGACGGGUAGCUGGUCUGAGAGGACGACCAGCCACACUGGGACUGAGACACGGCCCAGACUCCUACGGGAGGCAGCAGUGGGGAAUCUUGCGCAAUGGGCGAAAGCCUGACGCAGCGACACCGCGUGGGGGACGAAGGCCUUUCAGGUCGUAAACCCCUUUCGGCAGGGACGAAGCGAUACCGUGACGGUACCUGCAGAAGAAGCCUCGGCUAACUACGUGCCAGCAGCCGCGGUAACACGUAGGAGGCGAGCGUUG
rnacentral:rRNA from 1 species